ensembl:lncRNA
CUCAUUAUGGGAUCACCAGGAUGUGACCAUGGGAUCAGUGCGAUGUCCCCAUGGGAUCACCAGAAUGUCCCCAUGGGAUCACCUGAAUGUCACCAUGGGAUCACCAGGAUGUCACUAUGGGAUCACCAGGAUGUCACCAUGGCAGCACCAGGAUGUCCCCAUGGGAUCACCAGGACCUCACUAUGGGAUCACCAGGAUGUCACCAUGGGAUCAGCAGGAUGUCACCACAGGAUCACAAGGAUGUCACCAUGGGAUCAGCAGGAUCUCAUUAUGGGAUCAGCAGCUGUCCGUAUGGGAUCAGUGGGCUGUCUGUAUGGGAUCACCAGGAUGUCACUAUGGGAUCAGCAGGCUGUCACUAUGGGAUCACCGCAACGUCACCAUGGGAUCAGAAGGCUGUCUGUAUGGGAUCACCAGGAUGUCCCUAUGGGAUCAGCAAGCUGUCACUAUGGGAUCACCAGGCUGUCCCUAUGAGAUCAGCAGGAUGUUGCUAUGGGAUCAGCAGGAUCCCACCAUAGCAGUACCAGGCUGACACUAUGGGAUCAGAAGGCUGUCACUAUGGGAUCACCGUAAUGUCACCAUGGGAUCAGCAGGCUGUCACUAUGGGAUCAGCAGGCUGUCCGUAUGGGAUCAGCAGACUGUCCCUAUGGGAUCAGUGGGCUGUCUGUAUGGGACCAGCAGGCUGUUCCUAUGGGAUCAGUGAAUCUCACUAUGGGACCACCAGGCUGUCCGUAUGGGAUCAGUGGGCUGUCUGUAUGGGAUCAGUAGGAUCUCACUAUGGGACCACCAGGCUGUCUGUAUGGGAUGAGGCGGCUGCCCGUAUGGGAUCAGUGGGCUGUCCGUAUGGGAUCAGAAGGCUGUCCGUGUGGGAUCAGUGGGCUGUCUGUAUGGGAUCAGCAGGAUCUCACUAUGGGAUCAGUAGGAUCUCUCUAUGGGAUCAGCAGGAUCUCACUAUGGGAUCAGCAGGCUGUCCCUAUGGGAUCAGUAGGCUGUCUGUAUGGGAUGAGGCGGCUGCCCAUAUGGGAUCAGUGGGCUGUCUGUAUGGGAUCAGUGGGCUGUUCCUAUGGGAUCAGCAGGAUCUCACUAUGGGACCAUCAGGCUGUCCGUGUGGGAUCAG